GAUGAACGCUGGCGGCGUGCCUAAUACAUGCAAGUCGAGCGAACAGAUAGGGAGCUUGCUCCUUUGACGUUAGCGGCGGACGGGUGAGUAACACGUGGGUAACCUACCUAUAAGACUGGAAUAACUCCGGGAAACCGGGGCUAAUACCGGAUAACAUUUAGAACCGCAUGGUUCUAAAGUGAAAGAUGGUUUUGCUAUCACUUAUAGAUGGACCCGCGCCGUAUUAGCUAGUUGGUAAGGUAACGGCUUACCAAGGCAACGAUACGUAGCCGACCUGAGAGGGUGAGCGGCCACACUGGAACUGAGACACGGCCCAGACUCCUACGGGAGGCAGCAGUGGGGAUUAUUCCGCAAUGGGCGCAAGCCUGACGGAGCAACGCCGCGUGAGUGAUGAAGGUCUUCUGAUCGUAGACCUCUUUUAUUAGGGAAGAACAACUGUGUAAGUACCUCUGCACGUCUUGACGGUACCUAAUCAGAAAGCCACGGCUAACUUCGUG
rnacentral:rRNA from 1 species